AUUUAGGACAUGUAAUUCAGUUGCUCUUUAUAAUCCACAGGAAAUAAGAAUUGUUGAGGUGCUGAAUAAACAUACUGGAAGAGUGAAUGCUGUCCAGUGGGUUCAUAAACAAGACUGCAGUGCAGAAACCCAGCUGGUCUCCGGUGGGUCGGAUAAUAGUGUUAUUGUCUGGGAGAAGCAGGAUGGGAAGUUCACAGCAUGUGCAGUGUGUUCCGGA